GCAAUGAUGUUUUGACGUAAUCCGACCAGAUUUGUAGAAAGUUUGCACUUUCAGAAAGAUACUUUUUAUCACUUCUUAUCCUGGCCGAUGAUAUAUCGUGAUAACUUUACCAACCAAAUUUUGUUGGAUUUGAUUUGAUUUAUUGAUUUACUAUUGUUUCGAUUAUUUGUUUGUCUUUUAUUUUUUUAUUGCAGUAGAGGAAUAUUGUAAGCAGCUAAGACGGUCAGGCGGUAGUGUCGCACAAUAUCAGACAUUGUGCGUUGCUAACGGGUAAUAAACGCAUCGAGAAUUUCGAGAGGCAUACUAACUGCAUCUUUUCCAUGUGCCUGUGGUCAGACGUCUUCCCUGUUUGUUGAGACUUUUGUCAAAUUGAUAAAAGAAAAAAUGAAUCCUCGAUGAUCAGUUAUCACUGACCUUAAUCCUAACCCCAACGAACUCAUAACCUCACCUCUAAAAUAUUUGUUAAAAAUCAAUAAAUAUGAUAUAUAAUCCAUUUUGAAUCUCGUUUCAAAAGUAAAGUAUCAAUAAUGCCUACAUGUAGCCCGAAAUAGUUUUGUGUUGACUACUGUAAAGGUUAGUCAAUUCACUGGAAAUUUGAUUGUUGUUAAUAAUGCAUUGAAGAGUAGUACAAUCUUGUACAUGUGCUUCAUUAUUAUGUACAGAAACAAGUGCCUGCCGUUCGUACCGUCAAGUAACCACUCACCACAUAAACAUUAAUAUAAAUCAAUGAUCUAAACAGUAUGUUCCAAUUGUAAAUUUUCAAAUUUUUAAUCAGCUGCUAUAUUCUUUGACACAUUGUGCACAAAACGGUCUUAUUAAAUGGAA